rnacentral:rRNA from 1 species
CCUACGGGGGGCAGCAGUGGGGAAUAUUGCGCAAUGGGCGAAAGCCUGACGCAGCGACGCCGCGUGAGGGAUGAAGGUCUUCGGAUCGUAAACCUCUGUCAGCAGGGAAGAACGGUCACUGUGCUAAUCAGCAGUGAAUUGACGGUACCUGCAAAGGAAGCACCGGCUAACUCCGUGCCAGCAGCCGCGGUACUACGGAGGGUGCGAGCGUUAAUCGGAAUUACUGGGCGUAAAGCGGUCGUAGGCGGUAUGUCAAGUCAAGGGUGAAAUCCCCGCGCUCAACGUGGGAACUGCCUUUGAAACUGGCAAACUGGGGUGUGUGAGAGGAUAGUGGAAUUCCAGGUGUAGGAGGGAAAUCCGUAGAUAUCUGGAGGAACAUCAGUGGCGGAGGCGACUAUCUGGCACAUAACUGACGCUGAGGAGCGAAAGCGUGGGUAGCAAACAGGAUUAGAUACCCGGGUAGUC